rnacentral:sRNA from 1 species
UGGUAGAUGCACCCUGAUUAAGAUCCCCUGGCUCACAGCUUUGAGUUGGGGAUUUUUUUA